rnacentral:rRNA from 1 species
AGAGUUUGAUCAUGGCUCAGAAUCAACGCUGGCGGCGUGCCUCAGACAUGCAAGUCGAACGCGAAAGUUCCCUUCGGGGAGCGAGUAGAGUGGCGCACGGGUGAGUAACACGUAGGUAAUCUACCUUCGGAUGGGGAAUAACACCGAGAAAUCGGUGCUAAUACCGCAUAAUGCAGCGGCACCUAAUGGUGACAGUUGUUAAAGCGGGGGAUCGCAAGACCUCGCGUCUGAAGAGGAGCCUGCGGCGGAUUAGCUAGUUGGUAGGGUAACGGCUUACCAAGGCGAUGAUCCGUAGCCGGCCUGAGAGGGCGGUCGGCCACACUGACACUGACAUACGGGUCAGACUCCUACGGGAGGCAGCAGUCGGGAAUUUUGGGCAAUGGGCGAAAGCCUGACCCAGCAACGCCGCGUGAAGGAUGAAAUCCCUCGGGAUGUAAACUUCGCAAGAACAGGAAGAAUAAGUGAGAGUUAACACCUCUUACGAUGACGGUACUGUUUGUAAGCUCCGGCUAACUCCGUGCCAGCAGCCGCGGUAAUACGGGGGGAGCAAGCGUUGUUCGGAUUUACUGGGCGUAAAGGGCGCGUAGGCGGCCACCGCAAGUCGAUUGUGAAAUCUCCGGGCUUAACCCGGAAAGGUCAACCGAUACUGCGGGGCUAGAGUGCAGAAGGGGCAACUGGAAUUCUCGGUGUAGCGGUGAAAUGCGUAGAUAUCGAGAGGAACACCUGCGGCGAAGGCGGGUUGCUGGGCUGACACUGACGCUGAAGUGCGAAAGCUAGGGGAGCGAACGGGAUUAGAUACCCCCGUAGUCC